rnacentral:ncRNA from 9 species
CUGCCCUUUGUACACACCGCCCGUC